UACGGAGGAUCCGAGCGUUAUCCGGAUUUAUUGGGUUUAAAGGGUGCGCAGGCGGGAGAUUAAGUCGGCGGUGAAAUUUUGCAGCUUAACUGUAAAAGUGCCUUCGAAACUGGUUUCCUUGAGUGUAGAUGAAGUAGGCGGAAUUUGUGGUGUAGCGGUGAAAUGCAUAGAUAUCACGAGGAACUCCGAUUGCGCAGGCAGCUUACUAAACUACUACUGACGCUCAGGCACGAAGGCGUGGGGAGUCAAACAGGAUUAGAUACCCUCGGUAGU
rnacentral:rRNA from 1 species